UGCCCAGCAACUCCUAUCCCUACCUCCUCGCGGUACUGGCCGGGGUACGAGUAAAUAACGUUAGGGAAGA
rnacentral:ribozyme from 1 species